AAAACGACUCUCGGCAACGGAUAUCUAGGCUCUCGCAUCGAUGAAGAACGUAGCGAAAUGCGAUACUUGGUGUGAAUUGCAGAAUCCCGCGAAUCAUCGAGUUUUUGAACGCAAGUUGCGCCCGAAGCCAUUCGGCCGAGGGCACGUCUGCCUGGGUGUCACAC
rnacentral:rRNA from 2 species